rnacentral:rRNA from 1 species
AUUGAACGCUGGCGGCAGGCCUAACACAUGCAAGUCGAGCGGAUGACGGGAGCUUGCUCCUUGAUUCAGCGGCGGACGGGUGAGUAAUGCCUAGGAAUCUGCCUGGUAGUGGGGGACAACGUUUCGAAAGGAACGCUAAUACCGCAUACGUCCUACGGGAGAAAGCAGGGGACCUUCGGGCCUUGCGCUAUCAGAUGAGCCUAGGUCGGGUUAGCUAGUAGGUGAGGUAAUGGCUCACCUAGGCGACGAUCCGUAACUGGUCUGAGAGGAUGAUCAAUCACACUGGAACUGUGACACGGUCCAGAGUCCUACGGGAGGCAGCAGUGGGGAAUAUGGGGCAAUGGGCGAAAGCCUGAUCCAGCCAUGCCGCGUGUGUGAAGAAGGUCUUCGGAUUGUAAAGCACUUUAAGUUGGGAGGAAGGGUUGUACGUUAAUACCGUGCAAUUUUGACGUUACCGACAGAAUAAGCACCGGCUAACUCUGUGCCAGCCGCCGCAGUAA